rnacentral:rRNA from 1 species
GUGUACGGCCAUGCCAACCUGAACACGCCCAAUCUUGUCUGAUCUCGGAAGCUAAGCAGGGUCGGGCCUGGUUAGUACUUGGAUGAGAGACCACAUAGGAAUACCAGGUGCUGUAUGCU